CAAAGGAGGAAGCAGGAGUUUGUGAGUCCAGUGUGGAGGAGACAAAGACUGAACUGCUGUUCCACACCUUCAGAACACUUUAGUUCCUGGAUAAUGUUAUUAGCUUUCAAGCAUGUGAUGCAUCCCAAGAGAGCUGUUGACUUCCAGUCUGACCAAAUUCUUUCACGUCGUGGCGUGUACGAUGUAUAAACGUUUUGGAAUGCCUCUGAGAUGACUUCUGCAGCCAGAAUCUCAUCCACUCUUCUGCGUCCAUUCACAUGUCCUGGGAAGGCUUCCCUGAUCACCUCAUAGAACUCGCGAGAGACCUUGUCUCACCAGAACUCUUCACCCCGAAAAUAAAGGCCACACAAAGAGACUGAGAAAAGGAACCACCGCCAGAAAAGCAACCAAAUACAGAAAC
rnacentral:lncRNA from 1 species